AUGAAAGGUGGAAGAAGGUGGUGGUGCCGAAGAGUGAAACUUUCAGAAGGAUUUCAGCAAAUAAUCCAUCUUUAUGGAUUGAGGAGAGCGAGGACGAAGAUGAUAUCUUCAUGCCGCCGCUUCCGGGUUCUGCAUCUUCAAAGGGCAAGAGUUCUUCAUCGUCGAAGGGCAAGGUUUCUUCAUCGUCGAAGGGCAAGAGUUCUUCAUCGUCGAAGGGCAAGAGUUCUGCAUCGAUGGAGGAUGACGAUGAUGACUUCAUGUAGUUUUAUGUUGUAUGCUAUGCCUGAUAAUAUUUGUAGGGAGGAUCUCUCACCUUAG
rnacentral:rRNA from 1 species